rnacentral:rRNA from 2 species
GGUGGAAGUGUGGUGACACAUGGAGCUGACGAAUACUAAUCGAUCGAGGACUUAACCAAA